AGUGAACGCUGGCGGUAGGCCUAACACAUGCAAGUCGAACGGCAGCACAGUAAGAGCUUGCUCUUACGGGUGGCGAGUGGCGGACGGGUGAGGAAUACAUCGGAAUCUACUUUUUCGUGGGGGAUAACGUAGGGAAACUUACGCUAAUACCGCAUACGACCUACGGGUGAAAGCAGGGGAUCUUCGGACCUUGCGCGAUUGAAUGAGCCGAUGUCGGAUUAGCUAGUUGGCGGGGUAAAGGCCCACCAAGGCGACGAUCCGUAGCUGGUCUGAGAGGAUGAUCAGCCACACUGGACCUGAGACCCGUUCCAGACUCCUACGGGAGGCAGCAGUGGGAAAUAUUGGCCAAUGGGCGCAAGCCUGAUCCAGCCAUCCCGCGUGGGUGAAGAAGGCCUUCGGGUUGUAAAGCCCUUUUGUUGGGAAAGAAAAGCAGCAGGUUAAUACCCCGCUGUUCUGACGGUACCCAAAGAAUAAGCACCGGCUAACUUCGU
rnacentral:rRNA from 1 species